rnacentral:rRNA from 1 species
UACGUAGGGUGCGAGCGUUAAUCGGAAUUACUGGGCGUAAAGCGUGCGCAGGCGGUUAUACAAGACAGAUGUGAAAUCCCUGGGCUCAACCUAGGAAUUGCAUUUGUGACUGUAUGGCUAGAGUGCGUCAGAGGGGGGUAGAAUUCCAUGUGUAGCAGUGAAAUGCGUAGAUAUGUGGAGGAAUACCGAUGGCGAAGGCAGCCCCCUGGGAUGACACUGACGCUCAUGCACGAAAGCGUGGGGAGCAAACAGG